CAUAGCAACGAGCGGCGCCCAUUCCGCUCCUCCCCAGCCGUCGGGGGCGGAGCCCGCUGAGCACCUUCCCGCCUUCCACCACUUACCGGGCCUCAGUCGUGGGAGGCCGAUGGCAGUCAGCGUGGUGGGUCGCAGUAGAGAGCUGGGCUGGGAUCCAACAGGGAAGACCGCACCAGAGUGAAGCGUUUGAAAAGGCUUGGGAAGUUCAGCACAGCAGCAUCCGCCUCUGGCAUUUAUUUGUAUCACACUUCGUCUUGCCACUUUCUCUCACUGAAGCUUCCCGGUAGACCUGGGAACCCAGCAAGGCAAGGCUACUUGCCCCCCUUUUACAACUGAGGAAACUGACGCCCAACUUGGACUCAGGGAAGAAGCGAGCGGAUCCAACCUCUGCAACAGCGCAAAUGUCAGUCAUGUCUCCCAACACUCCACCCCACCUCACCCCUAACCAGAGCACAGGAGUGGUCGUUCAUCCAUCCACCCAACACUUAUUCACCUGGAAAUGUGGUUUUCUUCAGCGAGCAAAGGCAGAAAAAGCCUAGUGAACCCCACUGCAACAAAGCCUGCCAGCGGUCUGCCUUCUAUUCCCACCUCCCUCUCCCAACCCACCAAACCCAAGUGGCAUCUCAGUGUCCACUAUACUCUGGUUAUAUCCCUUUCACCACCAUCCAGCCAAAUAGCUGUUCAGACAAUUCCUUGAUCAAACAACACUGCCUUCUUGAGUUUAAAUUUUAUUUUACAAAAAGAGAAAUAAAGAAAACUGAUAGGCAGUUAUACUGA